rnacentral:lncRNA from 1 species
CUGCAUCUCCAUCGGAAAGUGCGCUGGCUACAUCCCUUCGGCCUCCGGGCAGUGUUCUGUCUCCCUUAGCUCAGGCAGCGAGAAACUUCAGCUGCGAAGUGGUGGUGGAGAGAGCCCUGGGAGCAGCGACUGGACCCGGACACCAAGAAGAGAGUGGACGCGCCCCUCGACUAGGAAUCGCUCUCGCAGGCGGAGACCCAGCAUCUCAGCGCCUGCGGUCGCGCUUGCCCGGCCGCGCGCUUUUGCUAGGCGCCGCCAGCCCCGAGGACCCUCGGGGUCCGCGGACCCUUCUGCAGCCGGCGGAAUCCUAAAGCUGCCAAGAGCUCCCGGCGGGUGUCCGCAAACUUUUUCCGAGCCCACGUGCUGACCAAACAGCCCGGCUCGCUUCCAGAGCCUGGCAUGGAGCGCCGCGCCUAGGCACGCCGUGCAGCCCGAGAGACGCGAGCGCACGGUAGGCGAUCUACACCUGGUGCUGGGGCGCUGGGAUAGCCCAUCCGGGGAGCGAAAGGCUUCAGAGCGCCCCUUGAAAGCCCUGCGCUCGGCUGCUUCUAGAGCGCCUUUCCUUCUGCAGAGCUCGCACAACGCCCUUUCUCCAGGGUCAGAAGGCAGUGCUCCGCAGAGGUUGCUAAUUCACUGAUUGUAAUCACCUUCCUCUCCAAGUCUCCUGCAGCUGUGCCAUCUGCGUUAAACUGCUGCGUGGAUCGUGCCAGUGAGUUCGCGUCCUCCCUCCCUCCUUUCUUUAAACUAAGAGGCGCGAAGGUGCAGGUACCUCCUCCGGGUUCUCUCAGUCCUCCACCCACCCAGCUUCUCUUUUCCUCCUCUCCCAGGUUCACCGUGGAGGGAGAGAUGCUCAUCGAGCCAAAUUGAUCAUUGCAGCCGCAGGGCAGUGACAUCUGUCUCUAAGUCCUCCCUAGGAGCGCGACCCGCACUGUCUCCUUCCAGGAGCCCGUCAUUUCCUCGACUUUUGAGAGGUGUCUCUCCCCAGCCCGACCGUCCAGAUGCGUUUUUGCCUCUUCUCAUUUGCCCUCAUCAUUCUGAACUGUAUGGAUUACAGCCAGUGCCAAGGCAACCGAUGGAGACGCAAUAAGCGAGCUAGUUAUGUAUCAAAUCCCAUUUGCAAGGGUUGUUUGUCUUGUUCGAAGGACAAUGGUUGCAGCCGAUGUCAACAGAAGUUGUUCUUUUUCCUUCGAAGAGAAGGAAUGCGUCAGUAUGGAGAGUGCCUGCAUUCCUGCCCAUCAGGGUAUUAUGGACACCGAGCCCCAGAUAUGAACAGAUGUGCACGAUGCAGAAUAGAAAACUGUGAUUCUUGCUUUAGCAAAGACUUUUGUACGAAGUGCAAAGUAGGCUUUUAUUUGCAUAGAGGCCGCUGCUUUGAUGAAUGUCCAGAUGGUUUUGCACCGUUAGAUGAGACUAUGGAAUGUGUAGAAGGUUGUGAAGUUGGUCAUUGGAGCGAAUGGGGAACGUGUAGCAGAAACAACCGCACGUGUGGAUUUAAAUGGGGUCUGGAAACCAGAACACGGCAGAUUGUUAAAAAGCCAGCAAAAGACACAAUACCAUGUCCGACCAUUGCGGAGUCCAGGAGAUGCAAGAUGGCCAUGAGGCACUGUCCAGGAGGUAGGUCUAAACAGUUAUGCUCAUGUGCUGCCUGCUUUCUGAAAAUUUCCUUCUUCCCUCCUCCCAGUAAAUGCUAUUUAUUCAUGAUGGAAACCUGAUACUAACAUUGGAGAUGAGAUAAAAAUCCUACCUUUUUUUUUUAAAGAAACAAAUGCUUAAGUUGUUGUGAUUUAUAUACAGUGAACAUUUCAUUUGCUGUUUUAAUAGUUUUUACAUAGCUUGAAGGAGUAUCUAUAUGCUUUCAAAAAUGAGAUUUCUAAAAGUGUGGGUUGUGUGUUGUGUCUCUCUGUGUGUAUAUGUGUGUGUGUGUCUCUCGCUCUCUCUCUCUGUGUUUUCAAAUGUGCCAUAAUAAAGGGUUCUUAUGAAGUUGGGCCUUUGCAGAUGGUGCUCAGAAGAAGGGGCCAACUUUCAGUUGAGAAGAGUUUAGAUUCAAAAGUUUAUAGAAUCUGUAAAAUUAUCUGCAUCAUUACUAGUUGAAGAUGACAACUUUAAAUAAACUUACCCAAACACGGGGAGGAAAAAACCCUGCCUUAAUGUUACCACAAUUAGCCCUGUCUCUUUGUUUUGAUAAUAAUUUGUAGCAAACAGCUACUGGUAUGUGUGUGCUUAACUCUUUGUAAUAAUUAUACUGAUUUGCAGUCAUUAUUCUAUAAUAGCUGGAUUAGGCUCAUUUGGAAAUUAGGAGAGGAGUACCUAGCGAGGUGUUGGACAACACAGAACCAGGAGAUCAAAAUGCAAUUCUUGUGUGUAUGCAUAUAGGGGUUGUGAAUACAUAUGUGUUUGUGACAUGUAUGUGUACAUGUGUGUGCAUGUGGAGGCCAGAUGGCAACAUUAGGCAUCUCCCUUUAUUGUUUUCAACCUUUUAAAGGCAUGGCCCCAUACUGACCUGGAACUCACUAAUUUGGCUACACUGUUUGGCCAGCAAGGCCCUAGGACCCUCUGUCUCUGUGCACUUUCUGCAAGGCUAGAGUUACCUGACUUGUAUGUAGAUGCUGGGUAUACGAACUUUGCUCUUCAUAACGGUCCAGCUAGCAUAUUACUGACUGAGCCAUCCAGCGUAUUCAGAUGGAAUUUUCACAAAGUUAGUGUGCUUUGUAAAGUAGUAAUCACUUGUUGACACUUUCUGUACCACUGGCCAAAGCCAUAUUGCCACAGAUUCAACCGAGGUGUGUUUUGUUUUGUUUUGUUUUGUUUUGUUUUUAAAUGUACAAAUUAAAAAAACACACACACAAAACAAAACAAAGGAAAGUUGUUUUUGGAAAAGUGCCUUUAAAAUACUCCAAACUUUGGGUUGCCCUCUUCCCCCGUCACCCACUGUUGGUGAGUGAUUCUCAACCUUUUCAUUCAAGCCCAGAAAGAGGCCAAAGAGCACAUAGCUGCCUGCAGUGAGUUUCUAGCCACACUCUGCUGCCUCACAGAGACUGUCCAUGAUCCAUGGAGAAAGACGAGACUCUGAAGCCUGGACGACUCCAGCUGCCCUCCGAGGACGAUUAGAUUCGGAUUCGGAAGCUCCCGGGGAGGAGCCAGCUUUUCCUCUUGAAUUAGUCUUGCUUUUCCUUACUGGUCCUUUGAAACAAAGUUUUCUUGGGUCUGCUUUUCACUAACAAGGAUGGUUUUGUUCCCUUAAAGUGGGUAUUUUUCAGUC